rfam:Brachypodium distachyon strain Bd21 chromosome 2, whole genome shotgun sequence.
UAUAUACUCCCUCCGUCCCAUAUUAAGUGACUCAAAUUUGUCUAAAAAUGGACGUAUCUAUAUAGUAAAAUACGUCUGGAUACAUGUAAUAUUUCGGCACUUAAUAUGGGACGGAGGGAGUAUAAA